AGAGCGAACGCUAGCGGCAGGCCUAACACAUGCAAGUCGAGCGCUCCGCAAGGGGAGCGGCAGACGGGAGAGUAACACGUGGGAACGUACCCUUCAGUUCGGAACAACCCAGGGAAACUUGGGCUAAUACCGAAUACGUCCGUAAGGAGAAAGAUUUAUCGCUGAAGGAUCGGCCCGCGUCUGAUUAGCUUGUUGGUGAGGUAACGGCUCACCAAGGCGACGAUCAGUAGCUGGUCUGAGAGGAUGAUCAGCCUCACUGGGACUGAGACACGGCCCAGACUCCUACGGGAGGCAGCAGUGGGGAAUAUUGGACAAUGGGCGCAAGCCUGAUCCAGCCAUGCCGCGUGGGUGAUGAAGGCCCUAGGGUUGUAAAGCCCUUUCGGCGGGGAAGAUAAUGACGGUACCGCAGAAGAAGCCCCGGCUAACUUCGCGCCAGCAGCCGC
rnacentral:rRNA from 1 species